UAUGGUAAUGGCCAGCAGCCGCGGUAAUACGGAAGGUCCGGGCGUUAUCCGGAUUUAUUGGGUUUAAAGGGAGCGUAGGCCGGAGAUUAAGCGUGUUGUGAAAUGUAGACGCUCAACGUCUGCACUGCAGCGCGAACUGGUUUCCUUGAGUACGCACAAAGUGGGCGGAAUUCGUGGUGUAGCGGUGAAAUGCUUAGAUAUCACGAAGAACUCCGAUUGCGAAGGCAGCUCACUGGAGCGCAACUGACGCUGAAGCUCGAAAGUGCGGGUAUCGAACAGG
rnacentral:rRNA from 1 species